UCGGUAGUUCAGUUGGUUAGAACGCCGGCCUGUCACGCCGGAGGUCGAGGGUUCAAGUCCCUUC
rnacentral:tRNA from 1 species